UGGCUCUCGCAUCGAUGAAGAACGCAGCGAAAUGCGAUAAGUAAUGUGAAUUGCAGAAUUCAGUGAAUCAUCGAAUCUUUGAACGCACCUUGCACCCUUUGGUAUUCCGAAGGGUACGCCCGUUUGAGUGUCAUUGUAAUCUCAAGCCCAUAUCUUAUUUGUUAUGGGAGGGGAUUUGGAUGUUGCCGUGUCACAACGGCUCGUCUUAAAUGCUUGAGUGUACCCUGCUUUUGUGGUGUAUUCAGUGUGAUAAACAUCUUCACUGGAGUCUAGUCUCUCUGGGACUGCACUACAUUUUUGGGCUCUAUGCUUUCAAACCGUCCCUCGCAAGACGGACAAUCUUUGACAAUUUGACCUCAAAUCGGGUGGGACUACCCGCUGA
rnacentral:misc_RNA from 1 species